rnacentral:rRNA from 1 species
CCUACGGGAGGCAGCAGUGAGGAAUAUUGGUCAAUGGACGAGAGUCUGAACCAGCCAAGUAGCGUGAAGGAUGACUGCCCUAUGGGUUGUAAACUUCUUUUAUAUGGGAAUAAAAUGUUCCACGUGUGGGAUUUUGUAUGUACCAUAUGAAUAAGGAUCGGCUAACUCCGUGCCAGCAGCCGCGGUAAUACGGAGGAUCCGAGCGAUAUCCGGAUUUAUUGGGUUCAAAGGGAGCGUAGGUGGAUUGUUAAGUCAGUUGUGAAAGUUUGCGGCUCAACCGUAAAAUUGCAGUUGAAACUGGCAGUCUUGAGUACAGUAGAGGUGGGCGGAAUUCGUGGUGUAGCGGUGAAAUGCUUAGAUAUCACGAAGAACUCCGAUUGCGAAGGCAGUUCACUGGACUGCAACUGACACUGAGGCUCGAAAGUGUGGGUAUCAAACAGGAUUAGAUACCCUUGUAGUC